rnacentral:rRNA from 1 species
GAUGAACGCUGUCUACAGGCUUAACACGUGCAAGUCGAGGGGAAACGACGGGGAAGCUUGCUUCCCCGGGCGUCGACCGGCGCACGGGUGAGUAACGCGUAUCCAACCUGCCUCUGACUGAGGGAUAACCCGUCGAAAGUCGGCCUAAUACCUCAUGGCAUCGUCUGCGGGCAUCCAACGACGAUUAAAGAUUUCAUCGGUCAGGGAUGGGGAUGCGUCUGAUUAGCUUGUUGGCGGGGUAACGGCCCACCAAGGCUACGAUCAGUAGGGGUUCUGAGAGGAAGGUCCCCCACAUUGGAACUGAGACACGGUCCAAACUCCUACGGGAGGCAGCAGUGAGGAAUAUUGGUCAAUGGGCGGGAGCCUGAACCAGCCAAGUAGCGUGCAGGAUGACGGCCCUAUGGGUUGUAAACUGCUUUUAUGCGGGGAUAAAGUGAGGGACGUGUCCUUCAUUGCAGGUACCGCAUGAAUAAGGACCGGCUAAUUCCGUG